AGAGUUUGAUCCUGGCUCAGAACGAACGCUGGCGGCAGGCUUAACACAUGCAAGUUGAACGGGAUUGUUAAGUAGCUUGCUAUUUAACAAGAGAGUAGCGCACUGGUGAGUAACACGUGGGAACGUACCUUUUGGUGGGGGACAACAUCUGGAAACGGAUGCUAAUACCGCAUAAGACCUGAGGGUGAAAGAUUUAUCGCCGAAAGAACGGCCCGCGGAAGAUUAGGCAGUUGGUGGGGUAAAGGCCUACCAAACCUACGAUCUAUAGCUGGUCUGAGAGGACGAUCAGCCACACUGGAACUGAGACACGGUCCAGACUCCUACGGGAGGCAGCAGUGAGGAAUAUUGGGCAAUGGAGGCAACUCUGACCCAGCCAUGCCGCGUGAGUGAAGAAGGUUUUCGGAUUGUAAAGCUCUUUCGGAUGUGACGAUGAUGACGGUAGCAUCUAAAGAAGCCCCGGCUAACUUCGUGCCAGCAGCCGCGGUAAUACGAAGGGGGCGAGCGUUGUUCGGAAUUACUGGGCGUAAAGGGUGUGUAGGCGGUUAUGUAAGAUAGCGGUGAAAUCCCGGGGCUUAACCUCGGAAUAGCCGUUAUAACUAUGUAGCUAGAGUUAUGGAGAGGAUAGCGGAAUACCCAGUGUAGAGGUGAAAUUCGUAGAUAUUGGGUAGAACACCGGUGGCGAAGGCGGCUAUCUGGCCAUAUACUGACGCUGAGGCACGAAAGCAUGGGGAUCAAACAGGAUUAGAUACCCUGGUAGUCCAUGCUGUAAACGAUGAAUGCUGGUUGUCGGCUUUAGGGUCGGUGACGAAGUUAACGCGAUAAGCAUUCCGCCUGGGGAGUACGGUCGCAAGAUUAAAACUCAAAGGAAUUGACGGGGACCCGCACAAGCGGUGGAGCAUGUGGUUUAAUU
rnacentral:rRNA from 1 species